rnacentral:rRNA from 1 species
ACGCUGGCGGCGUGCUUAACACAUGCAAGUCGAACGGUAAGGCCCUUCGGGGUACACGAGUGGCGAACGGGUGAGUAACACGUGGGUGAUCUGCCCUACACUUCGGGAUAAGCCUGGGAAACUGGGUCUAAUACCGGAUAGGACCAUGGACUUCACGGUUUGUGGUGGAAAGCUUUUGCGGUGUGGGAUGGGCCCGCGGCCUAUCAGCUUGUUGGUGGGGUAAUGGCCUACCAAGGCGACGACGGGUAGCCGGCCUGAGAGGGUGUCCGGCCACACUGGGACUGAGAUACGGCCCAGACUCCUACGGGAGGCAGCAGUGGGGAAUAUUGCACAAUGGGCGCAAGCCUGAUGCAGCGACGCCGCGUGAGGGAUGACGGCCUUCGGGUUGUAAACCUCUUUCAAUAGGGACGAAGCGCAAGUGACGGUACCUAUAGAAGAAGCACCGGCCAACUACGUG